GUGGGUCUAGAUGACCCAACUCCCAAUGCCAAAGUGCCUAGGAUAGCACAAGGGUUAAAUAGCUUGAACUAAAUUGACCAUAGUUUAAAUUUCCCUUGGGGCACAUAUUUUUUGUUUAUUUGGCUGCUGUGAUCCUUUUCAGUCUGUUCUUAGGGGCAGUGGGUGACCAGCUUGCGGCCACGUUGAAUGUUGGGGUUGGACAAUGAGCCAAGCAUGACAAAAGGUGUUGCAAAGUCAAUUCUGCAACAAAAUAUUAUUAUUAUCAAUGACUCACAAUCCUGUAUAAGGGCAGAACAUAGACCAUAAGACCAUUUAAAUCUUUUAAACAUUAUGACUUGAUGAUUUAUCUUGUUUGGAGUCAAGUUGGUUAAGUUUUGAACUUGGUGUAAAAAGGCUGCAAGCAUAGAAGCAUGGAGGGGAAAAUGGGUUUUCUGUAUCUUGUCUUGCAGCUGACAGCAUAAGUAACCGUUGUCAUCAGCUGCACCAGCAUGAAUACUGUUUACAGACAGUAAAUAUGUGAAUAUUUUCAAGAUACGAAUUCCUCUGCUUAUUACCGUAUUUUCAUAGGGGUCACUUCCAAUCCUUCACUUUUUCAAAAAACAAUGGCGCGCCUUAUAAUUCAGAGAACCUUCCAUCCAUUCAUCCUCUUCCACUCAUUCGGGACCGGGUCACGGGAGCAGCAGUCUAAGCAAAGAUGCCCAGACUUCCCUCGCCCCGGCCACUUCCUCCAGCUCCUCUGGGGGGACCCUGAGACUUUCCCAGGCCAGCCGAGAGACAUAGUCUCUCCAGCGUGUCCUUGGUCUUCCCCGGGUCCUCUGCCUAAUGGAACAUGCCUGGAACACCUCUCCAGGGAGGCGUCCAGGAGGCAUCCGGACUAGCUGCCCGAGCCACUUCAACUGGCUCCUUUCGAUGUGGAGGAGAAGCGGUUCUACUCUGAGCUCUCCGCGGGUGACCGAGCUUCUCACCCUAUCUCUAAGAGAGAAACCAGCCGCCCUACAGGAGAAAGCUCAUUUCAGCGGCUUGUAUUCAGGACCUCAUUCUUUCAGUCAUGACCCAGAGUUCAUGACCAUUGGUAAGUAUUAGAAUAAAAAUCGACCAGUAAAUUAAGGAGCUUUGCUUUCUGGUGCAGCUUUCUCUUCACCACAAUUGACCGCUACAGAGACCCCACAGCGGACAGGGGACAGGAGCACUCCACCCACCCAGAGAGGACACCUAAGAGCUGCUGUUUCGCAUAGCAUUGUGCCCACACGGGGGUGGGGUGGCCACUUUGUCUCCGAUAGAGGGGGGGCUAUUGAUCAGCCCCACAUGAACAGCUUGCUGCGAGCGAAGAGUCGAACACUUCAGCAACACGUAAGGGUAAGUAAGGGUGAAAUAGGUAAGAUGCAGGCGUAUCAUAUCGAUUUUUUU